rnacentral:rRNA from 1 species
UACGAAGGGGGCUAGCGUUGCUCGGAAUCACUGGGCGUAAAGCGCACGUAGGCGGGUCGUUAAGUCAGGGGUGAAAUCCCGGAGCUCAACUCCGGAACUGCCUUUGAUACUGGCGAUCUUGAGUUCGGGAGAGGUGAGUGGAACUGCGAGUGUAGAGGUGAAAUUCGUAGAUAUUCGCAAGAACACCAGUGGCGAAGGCGGCUCACUGGCCCGAUACUGACGCUGAGGCACGAAAGCGUGGGGAGCAAACAGG